AUCGUAGUGGAUGGAUUUGAUAAGCUUGCAACCACUUAGAAAAAUGCUAAAAACUUACCU
rfam:Porphyromonas asaccharolytica DSM 20707, complete genome.